ACGAGGCAGCAAAUCCGAACAGGCAAAGGCCUCACUCUCCAUAAGAAUGUGCAGUCUGGGAGACGGCCAGGUCUGCACCCUCAUGUUUUUCUGCCUGAUCAGGGUGAAGAGCGGAAAGGUGAGCUCUAAUCCUGGAACUUCUUCCCUGCGCUCUGCCAGCUCCCACCUUGCCACCAUCCUGGGUUCUGGAACCACACCAAGCAGGGCAGAAACCGAAGUGCUUUUGGAAGUCCACAGGAAUUCCCACACCCACCACAGCCCAAUUUCAUCUGCCACAGUUACUCCCUGAACUCAGUGGCUCUGCCGCAGCAGGGAGAUGGUCUGAAGGACAGGCGUGGGGGCAGAAGAAGACCCCAAGGCAUCUCCUCAAGAUGACCACAGUUGUCCCUGAAGAAGCAGUCACAGCAAGCUCACUUCACAGGAACCAAGCUGUGGGCUGAUCCUACAGACUUGAAAAGACAACUCAAAAAAAUUGUCUGUGGGGUCAGAAACAGCUCUGGAGGGGCCUGCAGAAAUUACUUUCUCAAGUCUUUGGGCUGGAAGGAACGAACAGUGCCUGACCAAGGACUUUGAGCAGGAGAGAGAUGGGAGCAGAGAGGAGCCAAGGUCUACU
rnacentral:lncRNA from 1 species